UAAUGCAUUCUGAGUGUCAAAGUUUGCCA
rnacentral:sRNA from 1 species